rnacentral:rRNA from 1 species
UACGGAGGGUGCAAGCGUUGUUCGGAAUUACUGGGCGUAAAGCGCGUGUAGGCGGCCUGCUAAGUCUGAUGUGAAAGCCCGGGGCUCACCCCCGGAAGUGCAUUGGAAACUGGUAGGCUCGAGUCCCGGAGAGGAGGGUGGAAUUCCUGGUGUAGCGGUGAAAUGCGUAGAUAUCAGGAGGAACACCGGUGGCGAAGGCGGCCCUCUGGACGGUGACUGACGCUGAGACGCGAAAGCGUGGGGAGCAAACAGG